AUUGAACGCUGGCGGCAUGCCUAACACAUGCAAGUCGAACGGAGGUAGGGGCAACUCUACUUCAGUGGCGGACGGGUGAGGAAUGCGUCGGAAUCUACCCUAUGGUGGGGGAUAACACAGGGAAACUUGUGCUAAUACCGCAUAAUGUCGAGAGACCAAAGCAGGGACCGCAAGGCCUUGCGCGAUAGGAUGAGCCGACGCCCGAUUAGCUAGUUGGUAGGGUAAAGGCCUACCAAGGCGACGAUCGGUAGCUGGUCUGAGAGGAUGAUCAGCCACACUGGGACUGAGACACGGCCCAGACUCCUACGGGAGGCAGCAGUGGGGAAUAUUGGACAAUGGGCGCAAGCCUGAUCAGCAAUGCCGCGUGUGUGAAGAAGGCCUGCGGGUUGUAAAGCACUUUUGUCGGGAAGAAAUCUUUCUGGGUUAAUACCUCGGGAGGAUGACGGUACCUGAAGAA
rnacentral:rRNA from 1 species